rnacentral:rRNA from 1 species
CCUACGGGUGGCAGCAGUGAGGAAUAUUGGUCAAUGGUCGGGAGACUGAACCAGCCAAGCCGCGUGAGGGAGGAAGGUACAGAGUAUCGUAAACCUCUUUUGUCAGGGAACAAAGGCGGGGACGUGUCCCCGGAUGAGUGUACCUGAAGAAAAAGCAUCGGCUAACUCCGUGCCAGCAGCCGCGGUAAUCCGGAGGAUGCGAGCGUUAUCCGGAUUUAUUGGGUUUAAAGGGUGGGCAGGCGGUCUGUUAAGUCAGCGGUCAAAGCCCGGGGCUCAACCCCGGCCCGCCGUUGAAACUGGCAGUCUUGAGUGGGAGAGAAGUAUGCGGAAUGCGCGGUGUAGCGGUGAAAUGCAUAGAUAUCGCGCAGAACUCCGAUUGCGAAGGCAGCAUGCCGGCUCCACACUGACGCUGAGGCACGAAAGCGUGGGGAUCGAACAGGAUUAGAUACCCUAGUAGUC